GACAUACUAAAGGCUCGUGACUAUGUCAAAGUGAAGAUUGAGCUGGCCUACUAGGUUGUUUUGAAAUGGCUUGUAUACUUUGGGAACACAAUGUUUCUCUUAUCAAUGAUUUGGUUGGAUUGCACUCUUAGGGGAAUCGAUUCUUUCCUACAUAUGGGGACUACAUCUUUCUUUUCUAUCAUAUGGUGUGGAAUUUUCUCAGCUAUCGCUAUGGUCGGCAUGGUAAAGUUUCUUGUGGUCUCGGUAAGUCACUCAUCACUUUUUUCCUUUUAGGUCGAAAAGUCACUCGUCACUUCACAAGCUAUUUUUAUUGACUUCCUAUUGUAUUGCUGGUUCAAGUUAUCCUUUCCCAUCCUGACAUGACCUGUUACCCUGGAUCCAUUCAUGUUUGUAUGUCAAUAUUUCAUCCUGAACUGAGCUUAUAAAUAUGUGCAACUCCUCCUUCCUGUCAAAGUAGAAGAAAUCAAAAUAAGCAUAGAGUAUUACCUGUUGUCACUUCCAAACUCCUUGGAGCCACACGGUAUUCUUGCUGGAUUUUAUCUAGUAAGAUACACAUCCUCUUUUGUCUAUGUUCCUAGAAUUCAUUCCUCAGUUGCUCUUUCUGAAAUGUUCAGAAUAACUCUAUUAAGCACACUUUGCUUCUGCUGCAUUCCUUUUUACUGACUGAAGUUUGCAUUCAUUCAGGUGCAAUGAUGUUCUUGUGGGUAUUUUUGUGGGGUUUGCCGCUGCACUUUUGCUGCUUGCACUUUGUGGCACUGUCUUCUUGUGGUUUUAUGGAAGUUUUUGGACAACAGCUCUUGUAAUCAUCCUUGCAGGUAUAUCAUUCACAUUGAGCCAUGAACGCCUUGCACUUUUCAUAUCCUCACAAUCUAUGCCAAGAACAGCUUUGAGCAAUUCUGCAUAAGUUAUGCAAAUGAGAGGUUGCAAACAACAUUUCAACCGGCAUUUAUUAAAACUGGAGCAGGAAGUGAGCAUCUCACAUGGACCGUGUCUUUAGUUUUGUUCAGUAUUUAUAUGAUGGGUAUUGUCGCUAAAAGCAGGAUAUUCUUUUUUGAUUUAUUUCUGUCGUCAUUAUUUAUUGUGCAAAGAUUAGUUAUUGUGCAAGAUUAUUUAUUCUCUCAUUAUGUGUACUAUAAAGAAAAAUAUUUAUGUCA